UCCAAUUUAGGCCAUCCAAGGUGGGAAAUGAAGAACCUUUGAGAGGCGUUUCCAAACAGGAUGGUUGAAGAAAGGUCCCGCGAAAACUGCAUCCAUCAAUCAGCUUUCUGCAACUCCCUUCAUCAACACUGCUUCAUCGUUCAAGGCAAAAAUGCCUAACAAUGUUGGAGUUGCUUUAAGCAUGUAAACUUGCUCGUUCCACUGAGGGAAAGUAACAAAAAGGUACAUGGCCGUUGACUGGGCUGAACUUCCACCAGAGUUGCUACAAACCAUCGCCGAGAAACUCACAAUACACAUUGAUUACAUUCGAUUCCGAGCCGUAUGCGUGAAUUGGAGAUCUUCAUCUCCAAACACCCCUCACCACCUCCCUUGUCAGCUCCCAUGGCUGAUGCUCCCCCAAUGUAGGACCCACCAGACCCACAGCCAUGGCUUCUUUCGCCUCUCUGCUAACAAGGUUCACUUCCUCAACCUCCCCGAAGCCUCUCAUCACAGACGCCGCUGUGGGUCCUCCCACGGAUGGCUCGUUAUUCUUGACGAGUCUCCGGCGGUCUUCCUGCUCAAUCCUCUCACCAGGGCCAUGGUCCAUCUCCCGCCACUCUCAGCGUUCCCAAAUGUUGUGGACUUCAAUUUCUACGAUGUUGGCCGCGAGUACUCGCUCCGGGCUACCAACGGCGAUACCUACACGUGUAAUUUGAAGGACAUGCGUGAUUCUUUCAUCAAGAAGGUGAUUCUUUCUUCGAGUCCUUCGAGUAGUCACAAUUAUAUUGCACUGGCAAUACUGAAUCAAACAGGUGAUCUUGCUUUCUGUAAAAAUGGAGAACAAUCGUGGAGAUUUAUAGAAAACGCACAAUCUUAUUGUGAGGAUGUUAUAUAUUGGAAUGGUUUAUUUUAUGCUGUGAAUAAAUUUGGAGAAAUUGCAGUUUGUGAUGUUCAUGGUCCUUCGCCUAGGGUUUCCAUUAUUGGUACACCGCGACAGAUUGGUGGUGAUAUACAGUACUUGGUGAGUUCGUCUGAGGAAUUAUUAUUGGUUACACGGUAUUUAGAUGAAUUCAAUGAUGAUCAACCUGAUAUUAUGUUCAGAACUAUGCAAUUCCGAGUUUAUAGGCUGGAUUUGAGUGGUCCAAAGUGGGAUAGGGUGACAAGCUUGGGUGAUCGGAUGUUGUUCUUGGGGGAAAAUUCUUCCUUGGCUUUGUCGGCUCCUGAUUUCCCAGGUUGUAAAGGUAAUUGCAUCUACUAUACAGAUGAUUAUGCUGAAUCAAAUUAUGAUGGCAUUUCUGGAGAUCAUGAUUUGGGUGUUUACAACUUGGAAGAUGGUAGUAUUGAAUCAUUACCUUGUUAUCCACGGAAUUCAAAUUCUGCACCGAUUUGGGUCACUCCCAAUCCAUAUUAAAAAUGGUGUUUGGUUGCUGUGUAAGGACUACAGAUGAUGAACUGGUUAUAGAGAUUCAAUCAUCGUAUGAUGGAAUGGAUUCUUUCUUGUGACAAGCCAGGAGCAGUGUGCCAAGAUCCGCGAUUCAUUGGCACAGAUGGGAUCAUGUUUUACUUUCAUGGCAAGAAGGACAAGGACUUCUGCUUGGUGUCUGAUUCUGAAAUUCACAUCAAUGCUCAUUUCAUUGGCAAAAGAAGCAAGAAGGGAAGAGAUUUCACUUGGGUCCAGUCAAUCGGUAUCUUGUUUGGGCCUCAUCAGUUCUACCUAGGUGCAAGAACAGUAGCCAAAUGGCAUGAAUCAACUGAGAACAUGCUAAUCCAGUUGAACGGAGAAGAAGAGAUCCUGAUACCAACUGUUCAGGGUAAAACAUGGCAAUCACCCGAAACUGGAUUGACAAUUGAGCGUUUAGCCGACACUAACAAAGUGAAAAUCAAAGUGGAAGGGUUGUUUGAAAUAGUCACACGUGUUGUUCCAAUCACUUCAGAGGAAUCACGGGUUCAUGGCUAUGAUGUAACAGAAGAGGAUUGCUUUGCACAUUUGGAGCUCAAUUUCAAGUUUGAGUCCGUAAGCAAGGCCGUGGAUGGAGUUUUGGGGCAGACCUACAGACCAACUUAUCAAAGUCGAGUCAAGAUGGCAGCUCCCAUGCCAGUCAUGGGAGAGGGAGUGAAGUUUGCUUCUUCCCAUCUGUUUGCAACAGAUUGUGUAGUGUCGAAGUUUAGGUUAAAGAAAGAAGACAAUGAAGACGGGGCACCAUUGAGGAUUGAAUGCGGAAGCAGUAACAGUGGGAAGGGGAUUUUGUGCAAAAGGUGAAACUAAAUUAUGCAAGUGACGGCUCAUACUUGCAGAAUCCAAAUAAUAGUUUCGAUUUGGAUAGUGUAGUGGCUAUUUCUCUUUUAAAUGUGAACUUGUAUUGUUUCUUCAAUACAUACAAACUAAUGUAAGUUCUUAAUAUAUGCCAUCCUUAUGAGGACUCGGGCACAUGAAAA